GCUUGUGAAACAUGUCACUGUGGGGAGAAUUACUGAGCCAUUUGACUUCUGCAACCAGAAAACAUGAAAGCUGAAAUAACACUCUGGCUGCUAGAACACGUGCCGAACAGGCAUUGGUGUGGAUGGGAAACUCUCCUGUAUCCCGAGGGCCUUCCAUGUCAAAUAUAAAAUGUAAGUCAAAGGCAAUGGAACAUAAAGUGCUAUGCUGUACCUGGUAUUUGACAAAUGGGUGAACAUAAGCAUAAGUCAGAUUAGUUAGUCUCAUGGAAUACUGAACAGGCAAAAAAGUGGCACCUUUCUUUUCAACAUGAUGUAGAAGAACUGAGCUCCAGUAACCAAUGGCUAGGCAUGAGGGUCCCUUUAAGCAAGAUUAUUUUAGCCACUGUCCUAACUGUGAGAAGCACAAAUUUUAAGUCAUUAUUCAUUUUGCAAAAGGAUACUGUGCCUCAAUUAAAAGAAGUGUUUAUACAGUUUCUUAAGUUACAACCUCUUUUAAUGAGAUUUUAUUUUAAUUGGUGGUUUUUGUCUAUUUAACAGUGUACUCACAAUUUUUCAGAAGUAGACCGUGUGCAUUAACUAAAUAAAUGAGAUGCAGGUAGAAAUGGAAAAUAGUAGAUGAAGGUCUACAUUUUCUCUGAUCUCCUUAAGUCCUGUCAUUCUUAAUUACUAAUGUUUGGUCCCCAUUUGCCCUUGUAAUUUGUACUAUCAUACAUCAUGACAAAAGGAGCAGCAUUCAUUCUGAAGAAAGAAAAACUUGGCUGGGUGUGGUGGCUCACGCCUGUAAUCCCAGCACUUUGGGAGGCUGAGGCAGGCAGAUCACUUGAGGUCAGGAGUUCGAGACCAGCCUGGCCAACAUGGUGAAACCCUGUCUCUACUAAAAAUACAAAAAAUUAGCUGGGCGUGGUGGUGGGCCCCUGUAUUCCCAGCCACUUGGGAGGCUGAGGCAGAAGAAUGGCGUGAACCCAGGAGGCGGAGCUUGCAGUGAGCCGAGAUGGUGCCACUGUACUCCAGCCUGGGCGACAGAGCAAGACUCCGUUUCAAAAAAAAAAAAAAAAAAAG
rnacentral:lncRNA from 1 species